UGGGGAAUAUUGGACAAUGGGCGCAAGCCUGAUCCAGCAAUGCCGCGUGUGUGAAGAAGGCCUGCGGGUUGUAAAGCACUUUCAGUGGGGAGGAAGGCCUCAAUAUUAAUACUAUUGAGGAUUGACGUUACCCACAGAAGAAGCACCGGCUAACUCUGUGCCAGCAGCCGCGGUAAUACAGAGGGUGCAAGCGUUAAUCGGAAUUACUGGGCGUAAAGGGUGCGUAGGUGGUUUUUUAAGUCAGAUGUGAAAUCCCUGGGCUCAACCUAGGAAUUGCAUUUGAUACUGAAUAACUUGAGUAUGGUAGAGGGAAGUGGAAUUUCCAGUGUAGCGGUGAAAUGCGUAGAUAUUGGAAGGAACAUCAGUGGCGAAGGCGACUUCCUGGACCAUUACUGACACU
rnacentral:rRNA from 1 species